UUGAACAGCUUUUUGAGUCUGAAUACGAAUUUUAUACCCAUUUUGACGUGCGUCACUCCGGUAAUCGUGUGGACGACGUCAAAUUUCAAAGCCGAAAACAGUUGGGGCGUGUCAAUUUUAAUUGAUUUUCAAUGCUGAAUGCGAAUAUGAUACCCGUUUUGACGUAUGUACGAUACACUGAUUUCACCCCGUAGUUACAUGCGUUGUAACGGUUUAUUGAUAUUACACGCAUCACAUACCAUAUAUAAUAUGUGCAUAUAGAGAAAAUGAAAACUCAUUCAUAUGACAGCGAGGAAAAUGAAGCUUUCAAAAGUGAAGGGAUGUUUUUAUAAAAAUUUGUUCAUAUUUGAAAGUAGAAGUUGGUAUAUAGCGAAGAGAAUUAAGGGCCGCCUUUGGAACCGUAUUUCAUUUCCUUCAUUUAGUGAUUUGAAGGAAUUAGGGAACUUUGCAAGACUGAAAAUGAAGGAGAAAAUUCCACAUGUCGCAGAUUUGAAGAUGCACCCUCAAAAUAUCUAUAAUUGCGCUUUUCAUCAUCAAAAAAUUUCACAACGUGCUUACCGUUCAAGCGUGUAUCGCACAGGGUGGUUUGAUUGCAAAAUUAUCUGAGUUUUGUCGCCGAGAUCCAGUCCAGGCAUAUCUCUUUCACUUCCGGUCGACUCUGUUACUCGUCCAACAAGGUGCUCAACGUGGGACGUGAUUUUGGCUUUUUCACUUGAGCUCUCCCAAUCCCACUGUCAAGUCUUACAGAUGCCAGAGACGCUACCACCAACGAGGGUGCUGGAGCUGACGCUGUUAUCUUGGAC